GGUAAUUCUAGAGCUAAUACAUGCGAAAAAACCCGACUUCUCGGAAGGGUUGUAUUUAUUAGAUAAAGAACCAAUAUUUUUGGUGACUCAUAAUAACUUUACGGAUCACAUUAUGUGACAUAUCAUUCAAGUUUCUGACCUAUCAGCUUUAGACGGUAGGGUAUUGGCCUACCGUGGCUAUGACGGGUAACGGGGAAUUAGGGUUCGAUUCCGGAGAGGGAGCCUGAGAAACGGCUACCACAUCUAAGGAAGGCAGCAGGCGCGCAAAUUACCCAAUCCUAAUACAGGGAGGUAGUGACAAGAAAUAACAAUACAGAACCUUACGGUUUUGUAAUUGGAAUGAGUUAAGUAUAAACCCCUUAACAAGUAUCAAUUGGAGGGCAAGUCUGGUGCCAGCAGCCGCGGUAAUUCCAGCUCCAAUAGCGUAUAUUAAAGUUGUUGCAGUUAAAAAGCUCGUAGUUAAUCUUCUGUUAAUUUUUAUAUAUAAUAUCACGAUAUUUAUAUAAUAUUAACAUAAUUCAUAUUACUUUUUAGUAUAUGAAACUUUACUUUGAGAAAAUUAGAGUG
rnacentral:rRNA from 1 species